GAAAUGUCUUGCUGCUGAAAUGUGCUAUACAAAUAACAUUUGAUUGAUUGAUUGAUUGAUUGAUUUGUCAGUUAAAAACAUUUAAGCAGGUAUUAAACAUUCUUUUCGUUAAACCAAUAAUAGUUAUUUUAUUGCUUUGAUAUAAUAUUCUAAUUUUGAAGCAGAAAAUCACCAGACUGGAUGUGAUUAAUCUACAUAAUGUGAUUCAUUUAGAGAUGAAGUUCCUGAAAUAAACAGACUUUUCAGUAAUAUUCUAAUUUAUUGAAGGAUCUGUUUGUAUUUCAUGUCUGUUUGCUGAGAGCUGAAGUGAAAUUCUCUGUUUCGUCACGAUUUUGGCCAAUAAAGUUGGUUCUGAUUCAGGUUGCUAACUGCUAUUAGCAACACAAGCUAAAAACAGCAGAUUUGUUCAAACACUUUUCCCUGAUCGAGGCUUCAAACGACAGAAAUAAACCCAGUUUGAAACGUAAUUCCUGUGGCUCAAAUGAAAAGCAGCCAUGUUGGAUUUGAGGAAAAGUCUGAAUGUCCAACAGGAUAAUCCAACCAGGAAAUUAGAAACUUUAAUUACUGAUGAAAAGUUUUUCUUUGACAUUAAACUAGAAACAGUUUUAAAAUGUCCAAGUAGCACUUGAACGCACCACGACCAGACAGACUUGGUUACACAAUCUAAAUCCUGCUUGCAUAAAAACUGCAUAGUAGUAACAGCUUUGGUGUAUUUAGGGCUCACAAUCACUGGAGGAUUAGUGCAACGCAGCAACACAUCAGGGCAACACGAGUUUCUACAUCCUAGGUUCUCAAACGGUGGGGCUCGGACCACCGGCGGCACCCGGGUCUCUCUCUGUAGGGCCCACAAGAAUGAUUUACAAAAUAAAUGCACAGCUGAUUAAUUCUGUUGUACAGCUGAUAAAGUAAUUGUUGUGUGCGCGUUGAAGCUUUCAUGAGAGAAAAGUGUUGAAAAAUGGAAACUAUUGGUUUGUUUCCGCGGUGAUUAAACGCAGGGCGGCCAUGUUUGGGUUUGCAGGAAAACUCUGACUUUCCUAUUUGAUUAUUUAAGUAAAAGUGGAAUUUGGCAACAGGGAAUAUUUUCUCUCUCCUGGUUUUUAUUAAAUGUGUAUACUUCAGGUCUCUUCGUGUCCAUUUUUAUAUGAAUAUAAAUUCAUAUAUUUCCUGAAUUUCAGCUGAUUUUGUCUGUUUUUUUUUUGUCUACUUCACUUUUUCAGGCUGCAGUUGUUUAGUUUCUCCUUUGUACAGUUAAAUUCUGUUAUUUUCAGUUAUUUUGUCGUUUUAAGUUCCUCCAGCCUCUUCUGAAACGUCGCUCUGCUUUUUAGUUUUUUCUAUUUUUGUCGCUGCGUUAUUGAAUUACACGAGACAUUCACAGACUGGCUCCAGGCUGGGAAAUCACAGACUUCUUGGAAACAUUCACCCCGUCCCGGCUGAGUUUUGCGGGUAUGAAACAGACCCGGGUCGUUUCAUACCGACCAUCUGUCACUUAGAUUACAACUUGAAGUAAUUUUCUACAAUCUGUUCAGAUUACAGACAGGAAAUGUAAUAAGCUGAACCAAAUGAAAGAUGGCUGUCAGCAGGAAGUUGGCUUGUUGUGUUUGAUUUCAUCAUAAGUCAGAACCAUUUUACUGCCUCAAACGGACCAGAGCUAAAUUUAUAGAAAAUGUUAUUAGAGGAUUAUUAUGUCUACUUAUCUCUACAUAAUGAAAACGUUUGUCUUGUUACAGCAGUGCAGGAAAACAUUAGGGUGGGUCUGGUUGCCCUGCAGUGUGAAGAAUGGCACGAAACGGCAACAAGAGGGAACGAAACAGAGGUACGAGUCACCUGUCCCGGGCCCAGCCUCCCGCUCCUCCACGGCCCUGCGGCUGGUCCACUAAAAGGAUCCAGUAAAGUCUUUGCAUGGCCAGACGGUUUGCUGGCAACAAGCUCCGGUUCCCGACAAGCGUAGGAAGUCAGCGGUCGCAGCGGAAAAAGUGUCCGCCGGGCAGGACUCGGGCUGCGGACCGAGGGGACCGCCUCUUUGUAAAGUCAGGGUGAUUCAGCAAUACGCCUUCUGCUUUAGCCCCGCCAGGACUGCCAGCUAGCAGAAACCCAGCAGCACCCACCGUACGAGGCGAAGCCAGCUCUCAAUAUUCCGCUUUAAUUAAACCAAAACACCGAGCGAGCUGGAUGAAGCACUUAAAUAACAAUAUGGAAGCAACAAGUGAACGCAACACGGUCAAACCUGCUCGAUUCUUGACCAUUCUACCCUUUAGUAUCCACUAUUCUUAUUAUUCUGUUCAAAUAGCUCACAGCGCUCAUUAUUAUGUUGUUUACUAUGUUCUUAGGUGUUUAAAAUCCACCCGUAAACCGUCCAGGAGAGGAGCUGGCCAGCUUAGGGCGCCGCUGCUAUAGUAAACAGCCAUCACGAGUCCUCGGGACAUUUAGGGUUUAAACAACUUACCGAGCGGCUGUUAAGAAAUACAGAAUAUAUAGUUUAGUAGAUAGCAUCUGUUUAUGUU